CCUACGGGUGGCAGCAGUGGGGAAUAUUGCACAAUGGGGGAAACCCUGAUGCAGCGACGCCGCGUGAGUGAAGAAGUAUUUCGGUAUGUAAAGAUCUUUCAGUAGGGAAGAAGAAAGACGGUACCUGACUAUGAAGCCCCGGCUAACUCCGUGCCAGCAGCCGCGGUAAUACGUAGGGGGAAAGCGUUAUCCGGAUUUACUGGGUGUAAAGGGAGCGUAGACGGCUUUGCAAGUAUGAAGUGAAAGCCCAUGGCUCAACCAUGGGACUGCUUUGGAAAUUGUGGAGCUAGAGUGCUGGAGAGGUAAGUGGAAUUCCUAGUGUAGCGGUGAAAUGCGUAGAUAUUAGGAGGAACACCAGUGGCGAAGGCGACUUACUGGACAGUAACUGACGUUGAGGCUCGAAAGCGUGGGGAGCAAACAGGAUUAGAUACCCCUGUAGUC
rnacentral:rRNA from 1 species